rnacentral:snoRNA from 1 species
GAGUUGAUGAUGAUAAUUUACUUUAUCUUAGCGGAUUUCAGUGAGAUCAAAUGAUCUAUGAUCUGAUUGUUACACACACUGAAACUC